UACGUAGGGUGCAAGCGUUGUCCGGAAUUAUUGGGCGUAAAGAGCUCGUAGGCGGUUUGUCGCGUCUGCUGUGAAAACCCGAGGCUCAACCUCGGGCCUGCAGUGGGUACGGGGCAGACUAGAGUGCGGUAGGGGUGACUGGAAUUCCUGGUGUAGCGGUGGAAUGCGCAGAUAUCAGGAGGAACACCGAUGGGCGAAGGCAGGUCACUGGGGCCGCAAACUGACGCUGGAGGAG
rnacentral:rRNA from 1 species